rnacentral:rRNA from 1 species
GAUGAACGCUGGCGGCGUGCCUAAUACAUGCAAGUCGAGCGAACAGACGAGGAGCUUGCUCCUCUGACGUUAGCGGCGGACGGGUGAGUAACACGUGGAUAACCUACCUAUAAGACUGGGAUAACUUUGGGAAACCGGAGCUAAUACCGGAUAAUAUAUUGAACCGCAUGGUUCAAUAGUGAAAGACGGUUUUGCUGUCACUUAUAGAUGGAUCCGCGCCGCAUUAGCUAGUUGGUAAGGUAACGGCUUACCAAGGCGACGAUGCGUAGCCGACCUGGGAGGGUGAUCGGCAACACUGAAACUAGGACACGGUCCAGACUCCUACGGGAGGCAGCAGGAGGAAAUCUUCCGCAAUGGGCGAAGGCCUGACGGGGCAACGCGGCGGGAGUGAUGAAGGUCUUCGGAUCGUAAAACUCUGUUAUUAGGGAAGAAAAAAUGUGUAAGUAACUAUGCACGUCUUGACGGUACCUAAUCAGAAAGCCACGGCUAACUACGU